GAAGCAUCUUUGGCAGCCAUAACUUUCAGUAUUUGUUUUCAGUAUGACAGUUUUUUGGGUUACUGGAUGCUAAAAACCUUUAAAAACU